GGCGAACGGGUGCGUAAUGCAUGGGAAUCUGCCUAGUAGUGGGGAAUAACCCGGCGAAAGCCGGGCUAAUGCCGCAUACGACCUACGGGUGAAAGCGGGGGAUCGCAAGACCUCGCGCUAUUAGAUGAGCCCAUGUCGGAUUAGCUAGUUGGUAGGGUAACGGCCUACCAAGGCGACGAUCCGUAGCUGGUCUGAGAGGACGGCCAGCCACACUGGGACUGAGACACGGCCCAGACUCCUACGGGAGGCAGCAGUGGGGAAUUUUGGACAAUGGGGGCAACCCUGAUCCAGCGACGCCGCGUGUGUGAAGAAGGCCUGCGGGUUGUAAAGCACUUUCGUUGGGAACGAAAUAUGCCGACCUAAUACGUCGGUAGGCUGACGUUACCCAAAUAAGAAGCACCGGCUAACUCUGUGCCAGCAGCCGCGGUAAUACAGAGGGUGCGAGCGUUAAUCGGAAUUACUGGGCGUAAAGCGCACGUAGGUGGCUAUGUAAGUCAGGUGUGAAAUCCCCGGGCUCAACCUGGGAACUGCACUUGGGACUGCAUGGCUAGAGUAU
rnacentral:rRNA from 1 species